UAGGGAAUCUUGCGCAAUGGGCGAAAGCCUGACGCAGCCAUGCCGCGUGAAUGAUGAAGGUCUUAGGAUUGUAAAAUUCUUUCACCGGGGACGAUAAUGACGGUACCCGGAGAAGAAGCCCCGGCUAACUUCGUGCCAGCAGCCGCGGUAAUACGAAGGGGGCUAGCGUUGCUCGGAAUUACUGGGCGUAAAGGGAGCGUAGGCGGAUAGUUUAGUCAGAGGUGAAAGCACAGGGCUCAACCUUGGAAUUGCCUUUGAUACUGGCUAUCUUGAGUAUGGAAGAGGUAUGUGGAACUCCGAGUGUAGAGGUGAAAUUCGUAGAUAUUCGGAAGAACACCAGUGGCGAAGGCGACAUACUGGUCCAUUACUGACGCUGAGGCUCGAAAGCGUGGGGAGCAAACA
rnacentral:rRNA from 1 species